AUGCAACUCUAUGCAGCUUUUCAAAUGCAAUAUGAUUUUAACCAACAAGCACAGCAAGUAAUCUGGGUUGAUGCAUUUUAUUAUUUUUUAAUUUUAUUUAUUUUUUACUGUACACAGAAACCUAUACCUCUUCCAGCAAUGCACUGCAGCACACUUCGUCUCCCCUCUGCGUUCAUGAAUUGGACCUGCGGCCAUUGUCUCGGUGUCAAUCACACACUCUCACACACAUACCCAGGAGACACACAUUUGACAUUUGGUGGAUUGCUCUGUGUGUGUGAGUAUGAGAGUGUAUGUGUGUGUUUUAGGUUAUUAAGAUAAGGCAGGUAUGCCGUAGGUUCUUCAUUAACAUGUUAGGGGAUCUCAUCAUCCUUUCUCCUCUAGCACUGUGGCCGUAAUUGAGUAAGGCUAUUAGACACAGAGUGAUCGUGCCUAUGUGAUGGCAGGAGGGGGAUGGUGGCGUGGCCAAUGGUGGAGGAUGGAGUCUUAUAACUGCAUGACACAGUGUGUGUGUGUGUGUAUAUGUGUGCUGAUGGGAUAGGGCUAUUAAAGAUGAUGUCGGUUUAGGUAGACUUGAAUAGUCCUGUUAAGCAGCGGGUAAUUGCCUGUAUCCUGAGAAGAGUGGAGAGACUGAUUCAGAGGUGCCUGCGUUUAAGUGGACCCCUUGGAGGGGCGAAUUUUAAGCUGUACAUUGUGGCUAUAGUCCCACUUGACAUCUGUAACUACACAAUAUGAAUGUGAGAAAUGGUUAUAUGAGUAUACUCUAAAUACUUAAUAAUACUGACCAUGUAUUUCUUAAUAGUCUUAAAUUGAUCUUGAAUUUGUCUUUUAUAAAAUGCUUAAUAUAUAACAAUCAUUUUUAUCUAAUAUAUUAUCAUUUUAAUUAUAUUAUAUUAUGAGAAUGUUUCUACCAACUCUUCUAGAUGUUGUAAUGAGCAAUUGUUAGCUUACGGAUCUAUUUCUACUUGAUCUAACCCAUAAAAAAGAACUUUGUGAUGUAUUUAGUUUGUUUCAGUCAUAUUUCAUAUUCAUAUUUUUGACUUUAAUAAAUCAUUUAG
ensembl:lncRNA